CCAAAGGGCCUGUUCCCAUACUGUAGGGAAUCUAAUCUCAGACAUAGGGGGAACAUGCAAUGUCUGCACAGACAAUCACCCAAGGUUCGAAUCGAACCCAGUCCAUGGUGCUAUGAGGCAAUAGUGCUGACCAUAAGCCACUGCACUGCUCUUCUGUAAGUGCAUCAAGGGGAAGAGGAUAACCAGGGAAAGAAUAGGGAGGCAAUCUGAUUUGAUUUAGUUUGAGUUGCAUGGAGCCAAAGACAAUUGGUAAGGUGUUAAGUGGUUCUUCCCUUUGGAGGAGGAGCAUGUAGGUACAGAAUUUGGGAAGAGGGACUCUGAGGUUCUUGAGCAUUUGACAUAGGAAGGUAUUGGAAUUUUCCCCAGUCUGGAUGAGUUAUAUCCCAGCAUGCUCUAGGAGACGUGUGAGGAAAUUAAAGGGGCUUUGACCAAAAUGUUUAAUUUCUUUUCGGCCAUAGGGGCAGUGCCAGAGGACCGGAAGACAGCUAAUGCGAUUCCACUAUUCAAGAAGGGUGGUAGAGAUAGCACGGAAACAGACCCUCUGGUCCAACCCGCCCAUCUCGUCCAUGCUGACCAGAGUUGUAGAGGCAAGGUUUCGUCAGGGAUAAUGAAACAUGGAUUUGUCAGAAGGAGUUCAUGACCGACAAAUUUUAUUGAAUUUUUUGAGGAGAUGACCAGACGUGCAGAUAAAGAAGAUGAUGGAGUGACCAGCUACAAAAGAAGACUAAUCCUUAAUUCUUGGAAGACUUGCAUUUGUCUCAAACUGUGAUGUGGGAAUUUUCUUUUGGUCCCAUUCUUUGUCUAAAUUACCAUUGACCUAAAGCCACAUACCCAUUGUGUUCAAAUACAGGAUGAAAGGAAACACCAGAGUGGCCAGUGACAAG